AUCAAAUAUAAAAUAAAUAUUUAAUUUUAGAAUUAGUGCAAUUGGAUACUUAAUCCUACAUCCAAACAUGGUCUCAGUUGUCAUAAGGGCAACUUAGAAAGAGUCGUAACCGAAAACAUUUAUAAAGCCAUUUUUUCUUUUAAUUUUCAGGUUCAUAUAUAUAUAUAUAUGUGUGUGUGUGUGUAUAAUCUUUCUGCCAAUGAAGCGCCUACCAAUCAGAGAAGUUAAUUUUUUAAUAUAUUUUUCGACGCCGGCCCCACCCCUGAUCUUAUAGCUUUGACUCCAGAUGAAUGAGGCUUUUCAUUCACGUUAUUCUUUGAAAGAUCGUGAUUCCAAAGGCUGCUGACAAAAGAAGAUUCUGGAGGCUGCCAAUCAUGGCCAUCGCUGCAUAAAUAUAUAUAUAUUAAAUCAAACAGGAGUGCGGUUACUUUAUACGUACAACUUGGGUUCUUGCCUUGCUGCCGUCAUGGAGAAUUAAUGCCACUGGUCAACGGUGAAUCAAUGGCCAUCGGGCACCAAAUUCAUGACCAAUCAAUGGCCAACAAGCACCAAAUUAAUGCCAAGCACACCAACAACCACGGAUUAAAUGGCAAGUUUAGUGUUUUAAAGUUUAGAAUAUGGAGAAGCACUUGCUACUGUAUCCAGGUAUUAAAUCAUCAAAAACCAAUUUGGUUUGGACUCUUCAAUUUCAAUUUGACUUCUACACCAACACCACACAACAACUCAACAACCGAAUCACUCGUCCUAAUAGCAUAGCAAUCCAGUCGUCGGUUGCCCGCACGUGAGAGACAAUUUUCUUAUUCGUGCUCGGAAUUGUUGAAUUAAUUUUACAAUUCUCUUGUACCAAUUUUCAUCAUAUAUGCUCCCUCAAGAAGUGAAGAUCGAUGUCGGAAUCACUUUAAUUUAGUUUCAAUUACAUGAUGUUUGGGAUCUUCUUAUACCAAUUUCGGUCUACAAUUGCCUCAAGUAUCCAUGUCCGUCAAAUCUUAUUUGUAUUAAAGCAACCGCUUAAACCGUUAACCUGUUUGAUUUAAAAAACAAAUAUUUGGAGCUGUUAGAUUGAACUCGUGUAAAUUAGGAUUACUAAUCCGAUAAUUUUAAAAUUAAAUUCAAAUUUAGUUUCCUUUAAUUCAAUUCAAGUAAAUUUAUUAAAUAUGAAAUAAAUAUUUAAUCUUAAAAUUAAUCCAAUUGGAUACUUAAUCCUGACAUCCAGACAAGGCCUUAUUUGCCUUAAAGGCAACUUAAAAAGAGGUGUGACCGAAAAUGUUUAUAAAGCCUUUUUUUUUUUCGGGUUCAUAUAUAUAUAUAUAUAUAAUCUUUAUGCCAAUGAAGCACCUGUCAAUUAGCGAAGUUAAUUUUUUUAAAAUUUUUUUUCGACUGUGAUUCUGGAGGCUGCUGUCAAGACAAGAUUCCAGAGGAUGCUGAUAAGACAAAUUCAAAUUGACCUUUUUAAUAAUUAUUAUCUUUUCUAAGGUUUAAAAUUUUAUGUGUAACGUACAGCUAAUGUGAUGUAAGUUUUACCUGAUGUAUGAGUUGAUGAACCAUCAUGGUGAAAUCAAAAUACAAAAAUAAUAGAGGUCAAUAACAGCAUUCAAAAGAAAAGAAAAAUUAAAACACAAAGAAAAUAAGGCCGUUGGAUUCGUUUUUUCAAUUUUUUUUCUGAAUAUUAAUACGUUACAAUGAAAGAACUUGCUAAUAUUUUCCAUAUUGAUCAGGAUAAAAAGAUUGUUGAUACAAUCAUACGUCAAUUUUGUAAUAUUAUAGUACAAUUCAAAAGUUUUAUUUUAUUUUAAAAUAUAUUUAUCCUACAUAUUUAUAAAAGAUAUUGUAAAAGAAUUAAAUUAAUUAAGAUAAAAUCUUCCUGCAAUCAUACUUGUUCAAGCUUCAAGUGUUCUCUACAUUCACUAAAUUUUAUAAAAGUAUCUUCUUACUUUUUCUACUCUAUAGCCUUUCUCUUGUGAUGGAAAAUAAAUUCUUAACAAGCAUAGACUUGGAUAGGCUAGAAACCCUUUUUAUAACAAUAUUUCAUAACUUAGAAGACUUUACACUUCCUCCAUCAAAGAAGUGAAUUUAAUAACCUUUAUCACUUCGAUUAUGAAAAUGAUUAGUAAACUAUAAUGCUAUCCCUUGAAAUAAAUAAGUAGGUUAUUAAUAUAAGUUUAUCUAUUUAUUUAAAAAAAAAUCACUUAUCAUGUGGACUAUAUAAUGAAACUUUGUGGAGAUAUAUCUACCCACAUUUAACUAUAUAAUGAGAUAUGAAAUUAGAGGUCCAAGGAGUAGUACUCAAAUCUACAACCUCAAAAGUUGAGGUCGUGGCAGGCAAAAGAAAAAGGAGAACCACGUGUUGCUAGGAAAGGAACUUACAUGAGUAACUGCAAAUUAAGCAAACACUAAAUUUUUCACUCUUUAUAUGAUAAAAUCGGAAUGUGUAUAAAAAAUAAACAAUCAAAAAAUAAACCAACACAAUUGAAAACAAUAAAUCAACCAUAAGAGAUACAAAUUAUUUUAUGUGGAAAACUCAAAUCGAGAAAAAACCACAGGACCAUAGUCCAAUAUAACCUUCCAUUAUAUUAAUAAUGGGAUUACUGCACAAAUUCUUCUCUAAAUAAUACUAGAGGCAAACAAUAUCAAGAAUCUCAACAAUCUUGCUCAUAGUAAUAGUCUAAUAUUUUUCAUUCUAACAAGUGGGUAUCUCAGAUAACAGCCAAUGAGAGAAUGAAAUAAAAAUCAAGACCAGUAAGAAUGUAGAGGGCGAUGCCAAAAAUUUACCUUCCAAAUUUGGGAGAUUAAGUUUGCCUUUCGAUCGUCCAUUCAAAGAUUAAAAUCCUUACCCUCAAAUUGAGUUGGCCACUGUCUUCUUUUUCUCUCUCAUCUUUUCUAUGUUUUUAAGGCUGCUACUUCACUUGUCUACUUUUUCUUUUAUAGCCAGGUGAUUUUCAAAGCCCAAUUUGAUGACAAUUUUCAAUUAGCCAUAACAUCUUUCCUUUAAUUUCUUAAACACCCAAACUAAUGGAAACUUUGGUUUGGGCCACCCAAAUGAGAUGGAUUCAACAAAUCUUCCCAUCAGAUCAUAUGGGGGGCACUACCAAGCCCGUUCUCUGCUGACAGUCUUUCAGCUUCUCCUUGGGCAACGACUUUGUCAUCAUAUCUAACAUAUUCUUCAUGAAUAUAGUCAGGCUGCAACUAUUUCUUUUCAAGCACGUCUUGUAUUCAUUGAUACCUCACAUUAAUAUGCUUGAAUUUCGAAUGGUAUGUUAAAUUCAUUGCCAAGUGAGAGCACUUUGAUUAUCACAGUACACGACAUAGCUAUUUUGUUUCACAUCCAGCUCUUGAAAGAAAUUCUUCACCACAAAGGGUUUUAGUGAUUGCAAUAUACUCUGCUUCUGUGGUGGAGAAAACAACACGAAGUUUGAAAUCCUCUUAGACUACCCUUUGCAAAGGUAAGUAAAUAUCCUGAUAGGAAUUUUCCAGGAUCAACAUCUCUUGCCAUAUAUGUUGUACACUUAUAACACAGCUUGUCACCAUUAAAACAUAAACAUGCCUUGGAAGUGACUCUGAGAUAUCUGAGGAUCCAUUUAACUGUUGUUCAGUGUUCUUUGCCUGUACUAUAAAGAAACUGACUGAGUACACCAACUGCAUGGGCAAUAUUUGGUACAAGCCAUGGCGUACAUCAGUCUGCGAAGUGUUGAAGCAUAAAAUAGUCCUUUCAUCUGCUGCUUCUCUUUCUCGCUUGUAGGAAAAUGCUUGGAACUAAGCCUAAAAUGGCCUGCAAGUGGAGAACAAACAUAUUUUGCCUUGCUCAUGUUAAUUCUUUCAAGAGCACUUUCAAUAAAUGCUUCUUGAGAUAACCAUAACUUGUCAAUUUUUCUGUCAUAGGAAAUCGUCAUGCCAAGAAUGUAUUUUUCGAUCCUUGAUCUUUUAUUAUAAAUGACUUGCUAAGCUUUUUCUUUAGAUUAUCAAUCUUACUAGCAUCAUGGUCAACAAUUAACAUAUCAUCCACAUAAAGAAAAAGAAUGAUAAAAUUAUUAUCACCAAGCUUCUUUACAAAAAGAGAAUGGUCAGACAUAAUAUUGCUAACCAUGAUUCUCUGUAAAAAAAUCAAAUUUUUUGUAAUAUAGUCUUGGUGCCUAUUUCAGUCAAUACAAACUUUUCUUCAACUUGCAUACACUUUCUUUGUUGCCUUUAACAUUGAAUCAUUUAGGUUGCCCCAUGAAUAUCUCCUCCUUUAAGUCACCAUGCAAGAAACUCCUUCUCAUAUCCUAGAGACUUUCUAUCCAUCAACAUCCAAGAUUUAUCCAUAUUUAGACUAUUAACUUUCCUACAAAUGCAUCACAUUUCAUUUGUUCAGUUUUAUUAAUAUUGGAGUUUGAUAUUGUUUCCAACCAUAAGAACAACUAUUAAAGUUACAAAAUCAACAAGAAAACAGCAGUUAAAAUACAAUAAAAAAUAACACUUAACAGCAAGAGAAAACCUAUAUCUUCAUCAUGACUAAUUAUAACAGUAAUAUUAUAAGCCAUAUACCAUAAAUCAUGGAAAGAGCAAAUAAUAUAAUUUUCAAAAAAUAGAGAAAUAGAAAAAAAUAGAAGUACCUUUUGCUAUUCGUUCCAAGAAUCGCGGAGCUAGUAACAACUUAAGAGACUGAAUCACGACUAAAAAUAGAGAAGAAUAGAAGCAAGACUUGUUUUUAGAUUUCUACUGAAAAAGACAAAAUUAUUGAAAUAAAACUUGUCCACAACAAUAAACUGGCUAGCUAUUAAAAUGAUUUAAACAAUCCAUAAAUAAAGUAUUAAAUUAAGUAUGCAAAUGUCACAUGUAGCAAAACAACAUAUACAAUACGAUGAAAUUUCAACAGCAAAAUUGGGUGUUAAAACCGUUAAAUAAAAUCCAUUUUUCCAUUAGAGAAAUCUAAAUUUUGAGAAUUUUGGUUUAGCUUGCUUUGGUCAAACUCAGUCGGUCUGCACAGUGACAAAGAAAAAGAAGCAGUUGAAACAAAAUGAGAGUGACAUUGCAUAGACUUGAUAGUGAAAUGUCAUUUUCUUGAUGCUAAUUUAUUCCGUUUCUAUUUGGAAUGAUUGAUACAAGCGGAAAGGUUUUAAAGAAUUGCUUAAAAUACUUUAUAGGUGCAAAGAGCAAUUGCAGCAGUUUAGCCAUGUAAAUAAGUAAGCACUUGACCAGUAUGUAAAGUUCACAAAGUAGCUAGAAGAACUCCAGAGAAGGCAUUAGUAGAAUGUAGCCACUAUAAAAAUUUCCACAAACAAAUUAAUUUAUAAAAAAGCACUGGAUAAGGAGUUAAGCAUACAUUAAUUUGUUUUUGGAACAUACAGCGAAAUUUCCAUAUUGGCUACUAUUCUACUAAUGGUUUCUUUCCACAAUUCCCAAUAUUAAGAUCUAUUGAAAACUAAGCAUACAUUAAAUUGCUUGUGGAAAUUUACAUAAGUCAAUAUAACAGCAGUUGAACUGGAUGCAGUUUGGGUGGAGAAAAAUGGUUUAUGUUCCUAAUUCCCAUUAUUAUGUUCUAUUGAAAAUUAAACAUACAGUAAUUUAUUUCUGGAAAUUUACAUAAGUCAAUAUAAUAGUAGCUGAACUGGAUGCAGUUUGGGUGGAGAAGUAGUGAGCGCUGGUUUUGGUGGAGGUGUUGUCAUUAAAGAGGUACUAAAUAACUACAACUUUAAAUCAAAAGAAAGAGUUUGUGCUAAUAUUUGCCAUGCAUAACUUCAACUUUAAAUCAAACUAAUGCUUACAAAUGGCAUGCAUCCAUAUCCACCACGUCGCAUACUACAUCACUCUUAUAAAUCUUUCUAAUGGAGAAAGGAACACGACAUUAUUCGCAUUUUUGUCCCUUUCUUAAUCUACUAUAUUUUGUAAGGUGCUGGAUAUUUUUCUGUUGAAAGUCCUAUCACAUCAAUUAGCGCCUUUAAAAUUAUGUUCUCGCUAUUGUUGAUAUCAAUUAUCACAUUGCACACGUUAUCUUUGAUGGUGCCACGUGUUCUGAAAUCUUACUGCACUAAUUAUCCUCUUCAAAUCUUGGUGCUAAUAAAAUCUUCUACAUAGUGUAAUUCAACAUCUCUCCUUCAUGUACCUCUUAACUCUAAAGCUUCUUCAUCAUCUUCAUCCUCAACAUUAUUCAUCUCUACUUAGCCAUAGCGUUUAUUUUCUCUCUUUCAAAUAUCAAAUAAUGGUUAAUAUUUUCUUCAGGAUUAUCUUUUCUUUCUUGCUUGUGAUGCUGCUGCUGCUGCUGCUCAUGAAUGAUAAAGUGGCACUAGGGCAAGAUGGGGAUCCCGUGGGAUCAACACAAGGAGGAGGAGGAAGAGAAAUGGUGCCUGCCUUGUUCAUUUUUGGAGAUUCACUUAUCGAUAAUGGCAACAAUAACAAUCUUCCUUCUUUUGCCAAAGCAAAUUAUUACCCCUAUGAUAUCGAUUUCAAUGGUGCCCCAACUGGCCGCUUUUCUAACGGCUACACCAUGGUCGAUGAAAUUGGUAACUCUCUUUAUCUAUGCAUUUGAUUUAUAUUUUUAUAAUUUCUUUUCCUUUUCAAAAUCCUGAAGGUACAUGAAAAUUUAUAUACACCAUGAUUGCAUGCAAUGCAGGGUAUUUUAAUUGCUCAUCUGACGAAUUAUUAUGAUUACUUCUUCGCUAGCUAAAAGAAAAAGCAUAAAACAGAUGUCAUUUUUAGAUUUUUCUUCUUUGUAAAUUUGUGUCACACUCUUGAGCAUAGUUAGAAAUAUCUGUGAAGUGAGUUUCAUAGUCAUGGCUUCAAUGACACAAAUCCAAAUUCAUUACAAUUAAUUAAUUGGUUUCCUACUUCUAUCCCUUUUAAAAAAAAUAACAAAAUAAAAGCACUUGUUUAGUUAUCUAUUUGUGGGGGGGGGGGGGGAGGACUAUUGCCAUUUAUUGCUCUGCCCCUACCUCUAUAUGUCUCUUUGGGAGGGCUCACACUGUCCCAUAAUAUUUAUUUCUAAACAAUCACAGUCAUUAUCUUAAAUCAAUAAAAAUAACAGAAUUUUUUCUUUUAUUUUUUACAUUUAUUAUAUCUACACCCACUUAUACCUAACUUGUAUUAAUCUGCAAGUACGAUCUGUUUGGGGAUAAAUUCACCAUAUCUGGUAGGCAUGUCUUAUUAAUGGCUAAAAGCUUCCAUAUGCAUAACCUCUUUAAAUUGUGUCCCCUUUCAAAGAAAAUUUUCUUUAUUGUCCAUUAGCUUUUAUUUACUCUUCACAAAUAUUUUUAAUGUCAUAUUAACCAAAUCUUGUAAAUUCAUCCAUUCGGCUGAACUACUGGGACUUCCUCUGAUUCCUGCAUACUCUGAAGCUUCAUCCCAACAGAAGCUGUGAACAUUAUGUUUGGAAGAAAAGCUUUCUAUGGUGACCAGAGCGUUGUUUAUCCCAUGAAGUUCCAGCAGCUUGCCAGUCUUUAAACUUAGAAAUUAAAGGGACAUAUGUUAUUGUAAUGUUUCUUGCUUGCUUAAUUGCUUUGCAUAAUUGUUGGGAUUAUAUGCUCUUUUAAAGCAUAUUAAUUUAUUUUCUGAUUAAUAAAAUAUUUGAGAUAUUUUCAAUUGCAUAAAUAUUUUGAAUAAGGUCCGUUUAAUCAUAUUAUAUGUAUUUAUGUGAUCAUCAUAUGGAUUCACAGAAGAUAUAAAUACAAGUUAUCUUAUGAUUAAAUAAAUUAAGUUCGCAGUUGAUAAAUAGAGUUGGGCGCUCUAUUUAUGUUUAGACUGUAGUUAAUUAAUUGAAUGAUUUGUCUUAAUCAUAUAUCAAUUUACUGAUGUAGUUUGACUACAUUGAGUUGGAUGACAUAUGAGAUUUAAUUAACCUUGAAAUGACUGUUAGACUUAUUAAAUCUCAUAAGUAUUGAUUUUACUGUAAUCUUAAUCUUGAGUUAGUUAUGAUUUCAUGAUUGUAAUUGUUAAUCCAUUUGAGUUACCAAUGGGCACGACAUACAAUUGUGGUCAAGAUUACCCGGUAUCUUGGUGGGAGCAAUUAUGAGUAUUGGAGUUAUAGAUUAACAAUAUAGAAUUUGUACGACGCAUCUCUUGAUGGGUUUUCGGCACUUGAUCAUAGAAUUCUCUGAUCAGAGUGUGUCAACAUAUUUAGUAUGUUGAAAAUGAUCAUUAGAGAAAACCAGUAAGUAUCAAAGAACAAGAUGUAAUUAAAUUGAUUGGACAAUUGAGAUAUCGAUUUAAUUAACGAUGUGGUACAAAUGAUUGAGCAGUAAAGAAAUCAGUGUGGCUUGGGACGAAUUAUUAUUCGAACAUACAAUUAUGGAGGUCAGUUCCAAUCUUAUAGUGGAGUAGAGUUCGAAUUAAAUGAUUAGGCUUAUUUAAUUACAGGAUUAAUUGUUGUAGCCACUAUUGUAUAUUCCCAAAUGAUCCCUGGGUUAGCUCAUUUAAUUGACUGCAUCGCUACUGGAUUAAUAAGUAAGAUAACUAGCUAUUUAGGUUAAAAGCCUAAAUAUAUUAUUUAGUGGGAGGCUCCAUUAAUAUGCUUGAGUGUAAGGGGCCUUGUGUUAUUUUACAAGGUGGACCCCUAUAACACAAGAACAAGUAACGUGACUUUUGUUUUAAUUAUUUUUAAUUUAAAUCAAAUGGGAUUUAAUAGAAUUAAUAAAUAAAUAAAUAUGGAGCCUAGGGUUUCCACUAAAUAGAGAUAUAAAAAAGCUUAUUUUCUCUAAAGAAAAUAGAUAGAGGCCACAUUAUACAAAUCAGAGAAAAAGAUUUUCUCUCUAAUUUUGAGAGAAAUUUUCUUGUGCUAGUUGCUUUAGUGGUGAUAAAGGCACCCACACAUCAAGUGUAGAUCAAACCUGAGUCAUAGUCUAGAAGAUUAUUUGGUGGCGGAUCAUGAUCUAACAGGAGUAGUGAUGACGGAUCGUGGUAUGGGAGCCUAAAUCACUUUAGUGAAAAAAACAAAGAUUGUUCAUCUUCUCAAAUUUUCAAGGUACGAUUUCUAUAGUACAAAUUCUUAUAUAUUGUAUGAGAUCAAUCCUAAAUUUUUUAAAAAAAAAAAAACUGAUUUUUUCCACAACAAUUAUUAGCCACCGGUGUCUCGUCUGUCCAUGUGAGUUUUUACUUGUUUAAUUUGCUUGUGGGAAGUUUAUGUAAUCAAAGAACAAGUUGUGAUUGUGUUUUGUUGCGUUGAUAGUGGUUCAGUAAUUGGGACUACUUUGAUUAUGUUUUGGUAAUAGAUUUUGCUAGUUUACUAGUGCUUCAGUAGGAUUUUUCUUUUUUUAAAUUAUUAACUUAUGCAUCUAUUGAAAUCUGAACUCAAAACUUAAGCCCCAAAGAAAUUGCUUGUUACCAUUGGAAUUAGACUUGACUUUCGUAGUUUAUUAAUCAACUUGCUUGCUAGGUAGCCUUGCCAUAUGAUAUGGUUUGCUAUCUUAUGGGUGGUGAUGUUUCCCUUGCAAUACCCCUCGCAUCUGUGUAAGGACAUCCAUCUAAUUUUGUUGAUAAUUUUGGAAGUUAAACUUUCUUCCUUAAUUUGAAUGAUUGAAAGAUAAUAUAUAAUUUUAGCCUCGUUGAUUCAAAAAGGGUAGAUUUAAAAGAGAGAUUGAUUCAAAAAGAUUAAAUUAAACGUUCAAAAAAAUUUAUAAAAAACGCAAGAUAUCCGCAAACUGUCUAAAAUACUAUCCUUUAAUCAAUAAUAUUUUAAAUAAGGAGAUUAUGGGUGGACCAAAAAUCCAUGUACCAAAGCCCAAGCAAACGCGCAGAUUUAACAACCAGUUUGGAACAGCUGCGUUACCAAAUUAUUUAUAGGUUUGGGUUCGGUUACAAAAACUCAACCACAAAAAUAAAUUUAUGUUCACUUAAAUUUCUACAAAAAUCUUCUAAAACCCCUUUAUAAUUGUUAACUUUUUGGUUGAGAGAGGCGUAGAUCACUCAACAUGUAUUAGUAGUCAAAAUUAGAAGAGAAACUUUAUCUAGAUUACUACAUUUACCAAAUAAUUGUAAUAAGUGAAUAUGAAAUAGUUCACUCAAAGCAAGGAUAAAUGGAUGAAAGUACUACACAUUUUAUUCACAAUGAGGUUUCCUUUUAUAGGCGUUACAUGAACAAACUUAACGAAAUAAUAGCAGCCAUUAUUCAGCAAAUACUGCAGCUACUUUCCAGUAACUAUAGCCUAAAGACUAGGUAAACACAAUCUUGCAAAUAACAUUACCAACAAACUUCCUAAAGACUAGGACCAUAAAAGCAACUUAUUGACACAAGGAAAUUCCAACAAUCCCUCCCUUAAACUAAAUGUUGUUAACAUUCAGUUUAAACAUUCUGCAGAAUCUUCUUCAAAUUGCAAUUUGCAAACUCCAAGUGACUUUCUCAGCUUCAAAAAACUAGCCAAUUUGAGGGGUUUAGUAAAGAUGUCAGCAACUUGGUCUUCACUCCUGCAAUAAACAAGAUCAAUGACUUCAUUUUUUGUCAAGUCUCGCAAGAAAUGGUAUCUCACAUCUAUGUGCUUGCAUCUUCCAUGUAGAACCGGAUUCUUUGAAAGUUUAAUUGUUGAACUAUUAUCACAGAAGAUAUGUGUUGACUCUAGUUGCUUAAAUUGAAGUUCAUGAAGAAUAUUUCUCAGCCAAAGUGCUUGACAUGCACAAGAAGCUGCUGCAACAAACUCAGCCUCAGUUGUUGACAAAGUAACUAUCGGUUGCUUCUUAGAUGACCAUGAAAUAGCUGCUGAACCAAACAUAAAUACAUAUCCAGAUGUGCUUCUUCUGUCAUCCAAAUCUCCAGCAUAAUCACUGUCUGUAAAGCCAUACAAAUAUGAUUUUUUACCCUUUUUGUAGAACAACCCAAAUUCACACUACUAGAAAAAUGGGCUUUAUUGACACCAAUUUAGUGUCAGUAAUUACUUUUGUUGACACUUGUUAAUUGUGUCAGUAAUGCUCAAGCCAGAACACACUGACACUAAUUUUUGGUGUCAGUGAUUUUUGCGUCAGUAUUUUGAGUCACUAUAGUAUCACCACAAUAGUGAUACUAUGAUGUUAGAAUCAGUUGAUACUAUUUCUAUGUCAGUAUUUUGUGUCACUAGAGAGUCACAAGGAUAGUGACUCAAUCGUGUUAGCAUUUAAUGAUACUAUUUACAUGUCACUGAUUUAUGUGACUACAAUAUCAGGAAUCCACUGACUCAGUAACAUCAAAAAUUCUUAUCGUCAUUUAAAUAAUUAGUGUCAGUAUUAACGAUGCUUUACCGGUUGUGUUUUAUUUUUUUUAAUCACAUUAUUCAUGUUUAUUUUACAAUUAAAAUAAACCCAAAAUAUAUUAAACAUACCAAAUCUUGUAAUGCAAUUCACAUAAUACACCUUGCAAAUACAUCAGUUAAAUUAAAAUAGUUCAAAUACAUCAUUGUUUGGGGGUAAAAAACAAGUUCAAGUACUAAAUUAAGCUUUGAACAAGUAGUAUACAUGAUAAAGUACUAAAUUAAUUUCGGAAAAUUUAGCCAAGAAGAAAAAAUAGAUAACAAUGUCACUGAUUUUGGAGUCCGCAUAUGCCUUCAUUUUUUUUCCACCUACAAGUAUAUAAAAUCAAUUAGCACAACACAAAAAAUGAGUCAUAGAUUUGUUUUAAAGAAAACUAAUCAUAAAUUACUUGUAUGUUACCUCGGGAUUGUAGGCUGUAAUUAACUUGGCAACGUAUGUAGCCCACUGAUCACGAAGUCGCGAGAGGUCCUUGACAGUGUAUUCCUCAACUCCCUUGAACUUUAAUUUUAAAACAACAAGUUAUUCACCGAAAAUCCUUGACUAAACUACUUAAUUAUCAUUCAUUUAAAUAUAUUUGUGUGUUAACAAUUAAAGCCAACAAAUAAACUCCAACAAUGUUACUGUUUUAUCCAAAAUUAUAUAGGUAAAUACUGAACAUCCUGAUCAUGGUAAUUUAAAAAAAAAAAAACAACUUGUGAAUCCCAACAGCAACAAUAUUUGAUAGUCGAAGCAACUUGUGAACCCCAACAGUACGCGAUUUAAUACAAAUAUGGAUGUAGAUACAAAACCUUAAUUAGGAUGACAACUUAUCCUCAUCAAAGUAAAGUACAAGCAACGACACCAUAGCACAUCCCCACUAACAACUACUUUGCAACCCAAACAAUUGUUUUGUGUUGGGAUAUGCAGUACAUUGUGUAUAUCCCAAAUCCUAAUUCAUGUCUAUAUGGAUAUUCAUAUAAUCUAUUCAACAGUAUGCAACAUAGUCACCAUUAUAAGUACCUCACAGUUUAUAAAAUGCAUACAAUACGCAAUAAAAAGAUAACUGUAAAGAAGCACACAAGUGUUUGAGCUGAUUCAUUUAACAAUAAAUUAAAACAAUAUGAUGCAGUAUUGUAAAAAUCAUUUUCAAUACUUACAUUAUUUUUCAGAACGUUCACAUUUGUGAUGAUAUCUUGCAUGUAUUUCAUCACAUAGUAACCACAUUCAAAGCUGCUCGGCUGCCUCAGACACUACAAGAUCAAAAUUACAUUAAUUUUUUACUGUACAUUAACAAUAAUUAGUUAGGUUUGUCUGAUUUUUACCUUGACAGGUAUCCAUUGAACAUUGGCCUUUGUAUCAGAAUUUAAACUCUGAUGUAUUCGAAUCCCCCUACAAUUAAGAGACAUAGCUAACGUUAGCAAAUAAUUAGCAUAAGACAUAAAAAUAAAAUAGCAUGAUCAAAGAUACAAAUAACAAACUUAACUGAUUGACAAUCUGCAUUAGCUCAUCAUCAGGACUACUUACCAAAGGAUCAAGGUAAUAGGUUGUACGUCUCACCAUAUCAAUUGCCAAUAACACCCAGUGGGCACUAAACAAAGUAAAUAUUGUUCUCACACAUGAAUUACAAGUAAAAGUUUUUAACUUCGUGAUUAAUCUACAAAUUAAAGAAUAUAACUAGCAAAUGAAAAAGGUUAUACCCAGGGUUAUACGGGAAUACAAUAACUUGUCCCAAUUCUGCCAAGCCUAACAGUUUUGAAAUGUAUUGAGUCCUGUCUUUAAAGCUGACCCUUGGAUAUAGCUUCUCAAAAAGCCCAAACUGAACUGGUUUAGUACUUCCAUUGCUCUCCAUCUCCUCAUACAGGUGUCUAAGAGGAAACAAAUAUAUAUAACGAAGUAAGUUUGAAUAUAGGAAACAAAAUAAUAGGGCCAAGUUUACUAAAACAUAAGUUAUGAUUUACUGUACUUGAUCCAUAUGUUAAUGAUGCAGUUUGAGACCUCUUUAAACUUGAUGAUUUCAGCAUAAAUCAUUUUGUCCAAGUGUGUUUCCCAAAUUUCACCAAAGGUUGCUGUGUCAUGCCGAAUUCUGAUCAACUGAGGUAAAGAAUUCUCGAUGAACAUGGUAAACAUGUUCAUAUAUUCACUCCUGUCAUUCUUUCUUGAUCGUGCUGCUGCCCGUGUAUUCUUCACGCGUACAUUGAGGUCUUUUACUGCUAGUCUGAUGACUCGGGGUUCUUUUUUGGCUACUUCUGCUGGUCUGAUGACCAGUGGUUCUUUUUUGGGUACUUUUGCUGGUCUGAUGACUGGUGGUUCUUUGUUGGGUACUUUGUCAUGACAGGAGAACUGCCUAUCUAGUACUUUAGGAGUUAGUCUAGGAGAUCUUCUCGGUGUGGGCUUUGAAGUAAUUUCACACUCUACUUUUUUGAGGGUUUGUUGAGGAGUUGCUUGGGAAAUUGUGGUGGGAUUGUCCUUGAUUUUACUCUUCACAGAUUUUGGAGUCGACUUACCCGAUGGGAAAUCAGCCUAUGCAAUAAUCAAAAUACAUACCAUUAGUAGCAAUACAUGCAUAUACAAAUGGAAAUAAAAUAAUGACAUGUAACAGGCCAUAUACCUUUCUUUUUCCAAGAGUUUCGGGGGAUUGUUGAUCAUUGUCAAUCUGAACACCAGUGGAAGUUUUGGGCUUAGGAAAGUUAGAACUUCCAACUUCAGUAUUGCUGUACGCAUUUAACCUUGCAUUCAUGCGUUCUAAUUGAGCAGACAUGAAUUGGAAACUCUCUUGAUACAUCUUUCUUUCUCUUGCUAACUCAGUGGCAUCAGGGACAUGAAAGUACAUAGAUGGGGUGACGAAUUGCCCCACUCCUUGCACCCUGCUUCCAUUUGGCUGCUUCUGAAGAGCUUCACCUAGAAUGUCAUGUGACCCUUGUGAUUGGAAUGUUCCUUGUUCAACCUUACUUUUCAGCUCAUUCUACAAAAAAAAAAAAUUGUAAAUCCGCAAUUACGAGUACAAGACAUUAGCUAAACUAAACUAAUAUCCUUCUUGAAUCUUUAACAAAGAGCAAACCCAUAUACAGUUCAAAUUGAAACUACAGAAAAUAUUACAAGACAACACCUCACACAAGUUUUAACUUUUUUAUAUGCGAAGAAAUAAGUUCUAAUGAAAUCUUACCGAGUUUCUGUCAAUUGUAAAUGUUGCCAUACAAUUAUUACAAAAAGCAGUAUAUAUGUACGUAAAUAUCUACCCCCACACACACAUAUUAUAAAGAAAAUUCAUAAGAAUUAAGUAUACAAGUGACUUACUAUUUUCUCAGCAAUUGGCAUCACAUCAGAAGCAUAUUUGCCAUCUCGGUUUGCUCGUGCCAUUAACCAAGCUUCACUGCGAUCAAUCUCCCGCUCAGAAACUCCACUCUCAUUUUUCUGUUACAAGGUGACAUAAAACAUAAAUAAUUGAUUCUAUUAUAUUAUACGUACUAGAUUACUUAUGUUACUGUAAUUACUCCAUAUUACCACACUUACUUUUCUAUACAACAUGCCACCAUAUCCUGUGCUAACCAAGCGAUAGUUUUAGACAUUCUUUGCUCUUUUGUCUUUUGCCUUCUUACUUUUUUCCUGCACAAAUAGUUUAUAUGAAGAACAAAAAGUUACCACUGAUUAUUAGUAACUACCAACAAUUAAAUCAGGUAAUAUUAACAAACAACACACCUGAAAUUGUUCAGACAAAACUUUGUCAACAAAAAGUUUCCAAUCUUCUUUUUUAAUGCUUGGAUAUUCAAUAGGACGCAACCUUAGUGACUUUCGAUCGUCCUUGUUAGGUAGAACGAAUUCCCCUGAUCUUCAAAGACUCAAGAUCUUUUCUAGCAUUAAUCCCAUCUUUUGUUUUGCCUGGUUGAUGAAGUAAUGUGCCAUAUAUGUUCUCGCACACAUUGUUUUCAAUGUGCAUCACAUCUAAUUGAUGGCGAACUAAUAAAUGCUUCCAAUAAUCUAACUAAAAAAAGAUUGACUUUUUUUUGUACAAUUUUUCAGUUAUGUUCUCAUCACCAUCACCGCCACCACCGCCAUCAUGUUUUCGCUUUUUGGCCUUCUUUUUCCCGAACUUAAUAUCUAUAUCUUCCACCAUAUUAAAGAUUUCCUCACCAAACAAAGUUUUAGGAGGCUCAUUCCACUCUUGCUUCCCAUUAAAAACCUUUUUCAGUUUCCGAAAUAGGUGACCGAGUGGUAGAAAGUGGCGAUGGCCCAUUUAUGACAUUUUCCUACUAUGUGGCAGCCAACAUGCACAAGUGUCUAUCCCACAAAUUGGGCAAGCAUAAUAGCCCUUAACAGUACAACCAGAGAGGUUUUCGUAUGCUGGAAAGUCACUGAUUGUCCACAUCAAGACAACCCAUAAAUUAAAGGUUUCUUUUCUAUAAGAAUCAUAAACAUCAAUACCUACAUCCCAUAGAGUUUUUAAGUCCUCAAUCAAAGGUGCUAGGUAUACAUCUGAUCAUUUCCAGGUUGUUUAGGGCCAGAUAUCAAAAGUGACAACAUCAAAAACUUCCUCUUCAUACACAACCAUGGAGGAAGAUUAUAUGUUAUUAAUAUAACAGGCCAACAACUAUAAGUAGUGCUAAGUGUACUAUGUGGGUUAGCCCUAUCAGUUGAGAGAGCUAAACGGAGAUUUCUAGGUUCUUGUGCAAAUUUUGGCCACUUAUUGUCAAUUAGUUGCCAGGCUGGUGAGUCUGCUGGGUGGCGAAGUUUGCCAUCUCUCAUUCUUUUAUUAGCAUGCCAUGUUAAAUUUUGAGCUGUUUGUGGUGAUUGAAACAAUCAUUUCAACCUAGGAAUAGGUGGAAAAUACCAUAAUACCUUUUUAGGAACCCCUUUCCUAAAUUUUGUUGAGCUAUCUUUUUUUAUUUGAUACCUAGAUGCUCCACAAUUUGGGCAUUCAGCAAGAUCAGCAAAUUCAUUCUUAUACAAAAUGCAGUCAUUUAGACAUGCAUGUAUUUUUUCAUACUCUAAGCCUAGCACUUUCAUUGUUUUCUUAACCUCGUACAUUGACAUAUGUAGAGUAUUAUUUUUUGGCAAAAUAUCAGCAAAGACUUCUAACAAAGCAGAAAACCUUUUAUCGGACCACCCAUAGUUCCCUUUGACAUUGUAAAGUCUCAUUAAACUAGAUAACUUUGAAUGUUUUGCACCCGGGUACAAAGGCUUUUCAGCAUCUUCAAGCAUUUCCUUAAAAGAACUAGGAUCUCUAUCACAAUGCUCAUAAGCAUCUUCGACCAUGUCAAUUAUAUUACUGUAAUCAUGACAUCUAAAUCUUUGACUAUGUGAAUGGUCUUCACAGUUUGUAAAUGUAGAUUUAGAGUCAGUCUCACCAUGCCAAGUCCAAACAAUAUAUCUUGGGAGAAAACCUUUUUCAAAUAAAUGAUCCUUCACCUGUUGAGGAGUAUGAAACUCCAUAUUACAACAAAAGGUGCAAGGACAUCUAAUUGACAUUCGAUUUUCAGCAUUCAAAAUGGCAAAAUCUAAGAAAUCAGCAACUCCAGAACGAUACUCUACAGACAAUCUAUCACAAGUUAUCCAACUUCUCUCCAUUUCAAAUAUUUUACUUGUUCACAUAUGUAAUGUCAGUUUAAGUUUAAUUAAAUUGCAUGAUUAAUUUAAAGUUCAAUGUUAUUAUGAUUAUAGUUGUAAUAAUAAACUUAUAAUUCUGGAAAAUCAUUAAUAGCCUCUAUAAAUCAUUAAUUAUAAUAAUAAUUUAGACAAAAUCCUGAAAUUGAAACAAAAGAAGUUUUGAAACUUAAAUAGGAGAUUAAUAGGUAAGAUGGGUGCUAAUGGCUUUUUAAGUAGUCGAACUAAUUCAUAAGUCAAGUAACUAACAAAAGUUAAGAGUUCAAAUAAAUAAUGUCUUCAUACCACUUUGCAAGCCAUUUUUUAAGAUUCUAUAAAUCAUUUUUUAACUUCAAAUACAACAUGCAGAACUACUUUAAAACAAACAUUUCUUUAUUGAAUCAAACACAAAUCAUCAACUUUAUAUAAUCUCAAAAUACUCACAACCACGAACUUAAUUAAUUCAUAUCAUAGUCAUUGUCUCUAUUACAAAUCGUCCAACCAAAACAGAAUAAAUAAACAAGUAGGAUUAUAUAACAAAAUUUACCUCUCUUUACAUGAAACAGAGAUGUAAAUAGUUUGUAACCACUAAAUACACAGUCAUUCAGCCAAUAUAACACCCAAACAAUCAUCUCCUAAUCACAAAGGCAAAAGCUAAAAUGAAAUUUCAUAUUUUAGUACAUUCAAAAUCAACUAACUUAUUGCUCAAAGUUAAGAAACGGAGCUAAUAGUUUAUUUCAGAAACUAAAAAAAAUGCACAUUCUUAGUUUUAAAUAACAAUGACAGUAAAUCACAUGCACAAAAGUUUGAAACUGACCUCAAAUGUGGCAGAAAAAACAGAGUCGCAGUAGCAAGUGUUUUGAGUUUAAGUAAUGCACCACUUAAAAUGCCUGUAUUUUUGGACUGCAUGUGAGUGAAGAUAUAGAAAAAUAAGAACAAAAAUUUCAAGUUACAAAUAAAUAAAAGAAAAAAAAAGAUUUGGAAAACAAAACCCACCAGGGUUGCACUACUGGUCAAUUUCUGAAUAUUUGAAACAACCCCAAAAUAAAAAUUCAAAAAUAUUAUUCAUAAGCCAAAUUAAAACAAACCCAAUAAUUAAAUUGCCUAAAAAAAUAAAAUAUUCUGCCAUUACCAGCUGAUAACCUCCUCUACAGUUCUUUCUCUGGACUUAACUUGUCAGGGAGAAUGAGAUUACCUGAAUACCGAACCGAUGGUGCCACUUCACCCCUUAUCGAUGGCUUUUACUUGCUUGCCUAGUAUAGGCACUGAAUGAUUUAGUUGGAGAAAAACCCCUUCAAUAACAAGUGAUUAGGGUUUUGGUUUGUGUUUCAAUUUGGGGGAAAUGGAAAAACGAAAUAGAGUUUUAGCUUUUCAUUAUCUAUCUAAAUUAAUUGAAUUUAAUUUGUAAAUGGAUAGUGCAAAACAGAAGAGAUCGAGAAGAGAAAAAUGAAAGCGAAAGUGAACGAUGAAAGCAAGAUAGAGACAGUCGAUAUAGUCUAGAUGGGGAAAAGUCAAGUGUGUUUUAUGUUGUUGUUAUUUAUAUUUUCAUUUUUUAAUAAUUUAAAUAUUAUUAUGACUUUGACUCAUCGAGAUUUGAUGGUCUGUGCUCCAAACAUUAAAGCUUUAAAUCUUAGAGCUCUUAGGUUCGAGUUGGAGCUAAAACAAAAAUUUUAUGAAUUUUUUUUAUCAUUGAUACUUUAGUGUUAGUGAUUUUUGAUAUUUAGUUUACUGACACCCUAGCAUCCUUAAUCUCUGAUUCCUAUUUGUCAAAAGCGGAAAAUGGUGCAUAUGUACAUAAGUACUGACACUUUUUGCAAAGUGUCAGUAAAGCCCAUUUUUCUAGUAGUGUCAGCAAUACCACGCAAGUAUCGAAGAAUUCUCUUUGCAGCUAAAAGAUGAUCCUCUCUUGGACACUCCAUAUAUCUGCUAAUGGAACUAACUGCGUGCAUUAUAUCAGGUCGAGUUGUCGUUAAGUACAUCAAGCUUCCAACAAUCUGUUUGUAAAGGGUUGAUCACUUGACUCCUAUUGUCCUCUGCCCCAUUGGAAGUUCAGUCAACUCCCAAGUAUUAUUUUUUUCAAUGGAUGCAAUUUCUUCGUCCAUGGCUUUUAGCCAUUUUUGUUCUUUGACAGCUUCUUUAAAAGUUGUAGGUGUUGGAGAAUUAACAAAUAAAACACAGUAUUUUAUUUCUUCAACAACACUCCUCACCAAUUACAACUCUUAUUUUUCACUCUCUACACCUUAGAGAUUUUACUACUUCACUUUACGUUUAAACCAAAAGGGAGAGAGGGUAUUUAUACAUGAAACAAACUAAUCACAACCAUUCAUUUAUUCAACUAAUAAACAAAUCCUCACCAUCCAUUAAAACCUAUCACUCACCUACUUCACCAACCAUAGCUAACACACCUAACACAAAUAAUUCAAACCUCACCAACCAUACCUACUCAUGGAACCUUCCAUGAGUUGGGCUUGAUUUAUUCAUCUUGGAUCAAGUUUAUGAUCCAACACCUCCCCUUAAACUUGAUCCUGUGACACCAAGCAAACUUCUGAAUCUUACAAAGUCUUCUUGCUUGAGUGGCUUAGUGAAGAUAUCAGCUGCUUGAUCUUGUGAUUUUACAUACUUGAUUUGCACUUCUUUUCUUGCAAUACACUCUCUUGUGAAAUGAUAGCAAGUGUCUGUGUGUUUACUUCGAUCAUGAAAGACUGGAUUCUUGGAUAGGGCAAUUGCUGAUUUGUUAUCAACACAAAUCUCGGUUGGCUCUUCUUGUGCCAAACUCAACUCCUUCAGCAAAUUUCUGAGCCAAAUUGCAUGACAAACACUUGAUGUGGCAGCUACAUAUUCAGUUUUACAGGUGGAUAGCGUGACAAUUGGUUGCUUCUUUGACAUCUAUGUGAAAGCAUUAUCUCUUAUGAAGAACACAAAUCCAGUUGUGCUCUUUCGAUCAUCUACAUCUCCACCCCAAUCGCUAUCGCUAUAUCCAAUAAGCUUGUAGUCAUUAGAAAAUGAGUAUAACAAGACGAAAUUAAUUGUACCUUUGAUGUAGCGAAGGAUUCUUUUUGCAGCUUUAAAAUGGGUGGUCUUUAGAUUCUCCAUGUAUCGGCUCACAAGUCCAACAGCAUAAAGGAUAUCUAGUCUUGUGCAUGUCAAAUAACGUAGGCUUCCAACCAAACUUUUAAAGAAUGUUGGAUCUAUAUCUUCGCCUUCAUCAUAUUUGGAUAACUUGACACCGCAUUCCACUGGCGUGCUUAUAGGCUUGCAAUCAUUCAUCUUGAACCUUUUGAGAAUCUCCUUUGCAUAGCUUUCUUGGGAGAUAAAUAUGCCUUCUUCCUUUUGCUUGACUCUGAUGUCAGUCAUCUUGAACUCUUUGAUCAUCACUCUCUUGAACUCUUUAAUCAUCACUCUCUUGAACUCUUCAAUCAUCACUCUCUUGAACUCUUCAAACAAGCUUGAAUUACUUCUAGUAAAGAUGAGAUCAUCCACAUACAGGCACACAAUCAAAAUAUCUCUAUAUUUUUCUUUGACGUAGAGUUUCUCUUGAAAAUACUUGUCAAUUAUGCUAUUCCAUGCCCUUGGUGCUUGUUUAAUCCGUAAAGUGCUUUCUUCAAUCUCAAAACUUUAUCUUCAUGUCCUUUCACCACAUAGUCUAAUGGUUGUUCGAUGUAAACUUCUUCUUCAAUGAAUCCAUUCAAGAAAGCAGACUUCACAUCCAUUUGAAAAAUCUUCCAUUUAUUCUGAGUAGCCAAAGAAAUAAUAAGUCUAAUAGUUUCAAGUCGAGGUACAGGAGCAAAUACCUCGUCAUAGUCUAUGCUAGCCUUUUGCAACUAGCCUCGCAUUGUGCCUUUCAAUUUCUCCUUUUGCAUUUCUUUUUGUUUUAUACACCCAUUUGACACCGAUCGCCUUGUGACCUUUUGGAAGAAUAGUAAGCUCCCAAGUAUCAUUCUUCACAAUGGCUUUGAUUUCUUCAUCCAUUACAAUUCUCCACUUCUCAUCUAGUGCAGCUUCUUGGAAGUUGACUGGCUCACAAUCAGCAAAGAGGCAAAAGAGAGUGAGAUUAUCAUGUCUCUCAGUUACCUUAUAGAGAUCUUGAAGACUCAUUGUACGUUCUUCGGUUCUUUCAUUUAAGAAAGACGGCGGUGAAUCUCCACAUGUGAUUGAUACUGGUGAGAUAGGUGAAGUAGCAGGCUCUUGUUGUUCGUCUACUUGUUUUAUCUGUGUAUGAUCAUCUUCUUCAAUGGGAAAGAAGUUGAAGUCAUCCACACCAGAGCCAAAAUCCUAUUCUCCUUCUUCAUCAAAAACUACAUCUCGACUGAUCACGAUCUUCCCGUUGUUUGGAUUGUAAAGCUUGUAUCCUUUGGAGUUGUUGUCGUAGCCGAUGAAGAUGAACUUCUCACUUUUGUCAUCCACCUUGGCUCUACUUUCGUCUGGUACAUGUACAUGGGUAAUGCUUCCGAAAACUCUUAGAUGGGUGAUGCCGGGUUUUCUUCCACUCCAAGCUUCUUGUGGCGUCUUGCCCCACACGCUUUUUGUUGGAGAUCGAUUGGAUAAGUAGACUGCACAUGCAACAACUUCAGCCCAAAAUUCUUUAGGUAGUCUCUUACUCUUAAGCAUGCUUCUUGCCAUGUCGAGGAUGGUUAUGUUCUUCCUUUCUGCAACACUAUUUUGUUGGGGGGAUCUUGGAACUGUCAAAGGGCGUCGAAUUCCAUUUGCUUCACAAAACUCUAAAAAAUCUUUGGAAAUGAACUCUCCACCUCGAUCAGAUCUCAUGGCUUUAAUCUGGUAUCCACUUUCUUUUUCAAUUGCAGCUUUAAACUUCUUGAAAGCUUCAAAGACUUCUGAUUUUUGCUUUAAAAAAUGCACCCAAGUUUUUUCUUGAAAAAUCAUCUAUGAAGAGAAGGAAGUAGUUACUUUUACCAAAGGAGUUUUGCUUGAAUAGACCGCACACAUCAGUAUGAAUGAGCUCGAGUGGCUUCUGAGCUCUUGAGUUUGACUAUUUUGGAAAGCUCUUUCUAAAUUGCUUGCCAAGUAAACAUCCUUCACAAAGUUGAUCAAGGUGAUUGAUGUAUGGUAAGCCUUUCACCAUGUUCUUCUUAGAUAGUAGCUCCAGUCCUCCAAAGUUGAGAUGCCCAUAUCGAAGAUGCCAAGUCCAGGAUUGAUCUUUGUGACAGGCUUUGAGACAUUUUGCAACAUCAUUUUGAAUAUUUAAAGGAAACAUUCUAUUCUUUGACAUUCUCACCUUUGUAAUUAGAUUUCCUUUGUCAUCUCUUAGAAAAGACUAUAAUCUUUUAAGUGAAUAUCAUAGCCUUUUUCUAAAAGUUGACCUAAACUAAGAGUGUUGCUUUGUAUAUUGGGCACAUAGUAAACAUUCGAAAUUAUUUGGUGGCUACCAUCUUUUGCACGAAAAAGAAUGUUACCUCUACCAUUCAUUGGUACUUUUGAAUCAUCUCCAAAAGCGACACUGCCAUUCACAGAUUCACUUAGUUGUAUGAACAUGCUUCUGUUUCCACUCAUAUGAUUGCUAUCACCUAUGUUAAGAUACCAUGUAUUUUCUUGACCUCCACUUGUGUCAUUGCGUGCUAGUAAAAGUGUGCCAUCUUCACCAUUUUUCUCUUCAGCAUAGUUCACUCUCUCAUCAAUUCUGGUGCUUGGAGCUCUGCAUUCUGAAGCAUAAUGCCCAAACUUUUGACAAUUAUAGCACUGUACCUGGGAUUUGUCAUACCUCGAUCUUGGAUUGCCUCUGCCUCGUCCUCUGGUUGAGCUUUCUCCUUUGGCAUAAUUGGAGUUGUUGUUAAAAUUCCAACCUCAUCCAUGACCACGACCUCUACCUCGUCCUCGACCUCUACCUUGGACAUAGUGCCUUCUCUCAUUGUCGGAGCUUUCUUCUCUUUUCUUUGGAUUGACUUCCAUCUUGAGAAGUUGUUCUUCGAUUCCUUACUUCUUUUUUUAUUUUUCUUCAUAGGCUUGCAACCUUCCUUGAAGUUGCUCGAUCGUCAUAUCCUCUAGAUCUCUUGUUUCUUCAAUUGUCACAACAAUAUGGUUAAACUUCGAGUCUACUGAUCGAAGUAUCUUUUCAAUGAUCCUUACCUCUUUUAACUCCUCGCCAUUUCUUUUUAAUUCAUUGGAAAUGGUCACAACUCGAGUAAAGUAGUCAGAAAUUGACUCUGAUGCUUUCAUGUGUAAGGACUCAAAUUCUCCUCGUAAUGUCUGGAGACGAACCUUCUUAACUUGCUCCGCUCCUUUGUAAGAGGUCUCUAGUUUCUCCCAUGCUUCUUUUGAGGAGGUUGUACCAACAAUCUUUUCAAAAGCAUUUUCAUCUAAUGAUUGAAAGAUGAGAUACUUUGCUUUAUUCUCUUUCUUCUUCAAGUCUUUUAAAUUCUCCUUCUACGCCGCAGUUAAAGUGACUUUAUUUUCUGGCACAAUAAAGCCUUUCUCCACGACAUCCCAUCCGUCAUGUACGCUCAAUAGAGCCUUCAUUUUAAUACUCCAAUUGUUAAACUUCCCUUUAAUUGUGGAACUUGAAAUGACAUCAUACCACUGUUUGCCAUAACUCACAAAUUGAGUGAGAAUUUAGAGAUUCUGAAAGCACAGAUGGAUCCGGCAUGUUGAAAAACCUUGGGAAGGACUCGAGUCAAUUUUCGGUCAACGGUCAAAGCUGGUCAACGUCGGUCAACGGUCAACACUGGCUUGAUAGUCUUGGUUCGGUUCGGAUUGGUUCAGUUCGAGUUGGCUCGGUUCGACUUGAUUCAGUUCAGCUCGGCUCGGCUUGGUUCAGUUCGGCUCAGCUUGGUUCAACUCGGUGAGUCGACUCAACUUCAGGACAGAAAACUUCCGGCGGCAAGUGUGGGCGCGUCCGGUCUCGGAUCGGGAUGAUUUUUGCGGCGUCACGUUCCUCUUGUCGAGAUCUUCGAUUUGAUAUGCUAUAUGACCAUAUAUAGCAUCCAGUACUAGCUCUGAUACCACUUUGUUGGAGAAUUAACAAAUAAAACACACAAAAAACACAAUAUUUUAUUUCUUCAACAACACUACUCACCAAUUACAACUCUUAUUUUUCACUCUCUACACCUUAGAGAUUUUGCUACUUCACUUUACGUUUAAACCAAAGGGGAGAGAGGGUAUUUAUACAUGAAACAAACUAAUCACAACCAUUCAUUUAUUCAACUAAUAAACAAAUCCUCACCAUACAUUAAAACCUACCACUGACUUACUUCACCAACCACACCUAACACAAAUAAUUCAAACCUCACCAACCAUACCUACUCAUGGAACCUUCCAUGAGUUGGGCUUGAUUUAUUCAUCUUGGAUCAAGUUUUUGAUCCAACAGUAGGAUCACAUUCUGAAAACAAGGCAAAGUGUAUGAGUGGAUUCUCAAGAGUGUUAAAUCAUGUUACCUCAUAAUCUGACAUCCAUGCAGACCUUCUUCUAUCACGUUGAGAACGUAAAUCUGUAGCUUCAACUUGUUCAUCAAGUUCAUUUGUUGUUGGUGGAGUUUCUGCUGAGACUCUAUUUUGCGGCAGGUCAGGAGCAGAGACUGUUGAAGGCUGAAGUUGCUGAUUUUCUUCAAUUUCACCAUCGAAAUCUGCUGGAAUUUGCUACCCAACAGAACUGCAUCUCCACAUCCAUGUCUUCUCUUCAUAAAAAAUGACAUCACGACUAAUGACAAUUUUCUUGAUGAUGGGAUCAUAUAAUUUGUAGGCCUUUGAAUGAUCACUAACACCAAGAAAAAUGCACUUUACACCUUUGUCAUCUAAUUUUCUUCUUUUCUCAUCUGGUACGUGGACAUAUGCUAUACAUCCAAAUACCCGAAAAUGAUCUACUGCCGGCUUACAUCCACUCCAUGCUUCUUCAGGAGUUAUAUUUUGAACAACUAUUGUAGGGCUUCUGUUCAAAAUAUAAACACUCCAAACAACUGCUUCAGGCCAAAAACUUUUGGGAAGACCACUCCUCUGCAGAAGGCUUCGUACCAUAUUAAGAAUUGUACGAUUUUCCUUUCGCAUACACCAUUUUGCUGAGGUGUGUAGGCUGUUCUCAAUUGUCUUCUAAUUCCAUGAUUUUCACAAAAGCUUCUAAAUUCUUGAGAGUUGAACUCUCCACCACGAUCAGUAUGCAAUAUUUUAAUUUAGCUGUCAGCUUCUCUUUCAACUAGUACUUUAAACAUUUGAAAGGCUGUGAAAGCUUCUGAUUUUUCUUGCAAGAAAUAAACCCAAGUUUUUCGACUAAAAUCAUCAAUAAAUGAGAUAAAAUAUCGUUUACCUCCAUUUGAUGUUGGCUUGAUUGGCCCACAUAAGUCAGAAUGCACUAGCUCCAGCACUUUCUUUGCCCUUCGGGAUUUUCUUUUUGGAAAAUUAUCUCGAUGUUGCUUACUGACAAUACACUCUUCGCAAAGCUACGAAGGUUGCUCAAAUUGUAGAAGGCCUACCACCAUAUUUUUUGCUGCAGCGGAAGUUUAAUGUUCAAAAUAUUCCAUUGAUUCUAGAGAAUACCGGAAUAAAAGAACAACUAAAUUCACGUUGAUUCAAAAGAAUACCGCGAACUUAGGGGUUAAGACUCGUUGAUCCCACAGAAUACCGAGAAUUAGUUGUUCAAAUACUCACAAAGAGAUUUGAAAAUUGAAAUAUUAUUGAACUCAAAAUUCUCUGCUUGUAAAAGCUACAAAAGACACUUAUUUAUACUAAGUAAGACUUAUCCUAAUAUGAUUAGAAAACCUAUUUUAAUAAGACUUAUGCGUAAAUUAAGAAUAUUACCCAAAUAAGCAAUACCUAAACAAUAAGACUCUAAAUAGGAAACCAAAUUAAACUAGAAUACAAAUUAAUUAAAAUAUUCCUAAAUAUUAUACAUUUAAAUAUAAUUAGGAUUUCUUCAAUUUCUUGCUCUGCAUCAUUUUUCUACUGCAAGGUCUUCAAUCUACCACAACUAAGAUGCCCAUAACGAAAGUGCCAUAACCAUGCUGUAUCUUUGAAAUUUGCAGCAAAACAUGAGUGUGCAGUAUGGUGAAGAUACAAAGGAAACAUUCUGUUUGCCGUCAUUUUCACUUGAGCAAUUAAGCCCAAUUUUUCAUCGUGGAUUCGGCAAACUCCUUCCUUGAUAGAGAUCUCAUACCCCUUUUCUUGUAACUGGCCAACACUGAGAAUGUUAGUUUUCAGUUCAGGAACGAAUAAAACAUUUGAGAUAGAAUGAGAACUUUCCUUGGUUUGGAUUGCAACCCUUCCUUUCCCCAUGACAGAAACUGUGGAGUCAUCACCAAAUUUUACAGUAUUUCGAAAAGUAUCAUCCAAGUCAAAAAAAGCAAAUUUAUCCCCACACAUAUGAUUGCUGCAACCGGUGUCUAAGUACCAUAGAUUUUGGUGACUUUCCUCCUUUCUAUGACAUGCCAUAAGAAGGGAAAUUUCUUCUUCCUCCUUUUCUGCAAAGUUAGAUUUCUCGCCACGAUUCUUAUUUAAAUUAGUACAGCACUCAGAGCGGUAAUGACCGUACUUCUGACAACGGAAGCAUUUAACAUUCGAUUUGGCUUUAGACUUUGGUUUAUGUCCUGUCGAAUUCUGACCAUCAUAAUCCUUUCCUUUUCCUUGAGAAUCAUCAACAUUUUCUUCUGAUUUGUUCUGCCCAUUCUUGCCUUUCCAGCCUCUUUUACCCCCUUCAGUUGGUUUGAGAUUUGUUGCUGCCUGUAAUGCAUGUUCUUCCUUAUCCUGUCGGAUUACUUUCUGCUCAUGGACUAGCAAAGUGCUUUCCAAUUCAUCAAUCGAAAGUGUGUCAAUAUCCCUUGAUUCCUCAAUCGCACAAACAAUAUAGUUAAAUUUUGCCAUUAAAGAUCGAAGAAUCUUCUCAAUUAUGAUAACAUCCUCGAGCUGUUCGCCAUGAAUUCAUCUCUUAUUUGCGAUUGCCAUUGUCCUUGCAAAGUAUGCUGAGACCGACUCUCCCAUCUUCAUUCGUAAAGAUUCAAAUUCAGCUCGAAGUGUCUGGAGGUGUACCCGCUUCGCCCUUGCUGUCCCUUGGUACUUCUUUUUCAAGGAAUCCCAAAUUUGUUUAGAGGAGUCUUUGUUAAGAAUUGUUUCCAAGAUUGAUCGAUCAAUAGCUUGGAAUAAGUAAUUCUUUGCCUUGAGAUCCUUUAAUCGUUGCCCUUCAAGCUCUAUUUACUAAGCAUCCGUCAAAACAACACCGGCUGGUGGUUCAGUUAUUCUAAUUGAAACAACCUGCCAAUAUUCCUUGGACCUUAAGAAAUUCCCCAUCAACAUGCUCCAAUGGUCAUAGUGACCAUCAAAGUGGGGAAUUACAGGUUGAACAAAAUUCUCAGAAGCCAUGAAUUUCUGCUGCUGCAACACGAGUGCAAAAAGAGCCAAGUAAGCUGCUGUUACUAACUCUGUCAAUCCACUUUUCUAAUUCAAGCUCUGAUACCACUGUUACAAGUGAAUAUGAAAUAGUUCACUCAAAGCAAGGAUAAAUGGAUGAAAGUACUACACAUUUUAUUCACAAUGAGGUUGCCUUUUAUAGGCGUUACAUGAACAAACUUAACGAAAUAAUAGCAGCCAUUAUUCAGCAAAUACUGCAGCUACUUUCCAGUAACUAUAGCCUAAAGACUAGGUAAACACAAUCUUGCAAAUAACAUUACCAACAAACUUCCUAAAGACUAGGACCAUAAAAGCAACUUAUUGCCACAAGGAAAUUCCAACAAUAAUAUUAUAAAAUGUAAAAGUUUUAAUGGGGUGUACCCCAUCACUAUCUCAGGAAUGGUGAUUUUGAUCCCUUACUAUAUCUCACAAGCGCCCCAUUUUUCAGUUAAUUCCAUUAAAAAUUUUAAACAAAUCUUUGUCUCUCAAUAUACCUUACCUAAUCUCUAAUUUACCUUUAUUUUAAUUUUUUUUCAUACACCCAUUGUAUAAAUUUUAUAAAAUCAUUUCUUUAAAAAAAAAAUCUCAUAAUGAUUGUAAUUUCUCAACUUUGUUUUAAGGUUUUAUCCACCACUUAAGAUUUGAUAGUUCCACCAAGAAUUGGAGGAAAGAACCAUGCCGAGUCGGCCCUGAAUAACCUUAGUAUCGUGCUAAGCCUAUCAAGCCAAAGUUGAGUGAAGGAAUACAAGAAUUUGGCCAAGGGGUUUGACGUGAUAAAGAUACAGAUUUUUUAUUAUUAUAAUUGAUUUGGAGCUAAAAAGGGGAUUCUUGAUUUCCUUUUCUAUGCAUCCCAAUCUUGUAUUCAAGUUUAUCUGUUCAUGGACCAGAAUGCAUUGCAUUUGGAAAGUGUUUGCAAUUGUACAGUGAUAUUACUUGGACAGUAAUUUGGCGUUGCAAUGCAUUUACAGAACGAAUGAAAAUUUGGAAUCGCGAUGGAAAAUGCUGUCAGGUAUCUAUCUGAGAAUGAAAGCACUCGCUUUCAGUCUCUAUGGGAUUGCAGUAUAAAAUUUUACAUUGUUCUUCAAUAUUUUGAAUAGAAUACCUUACUUUGAAUGGAAUGGCUCAGUUUAAAAAGUUAGAAGAAAUUAGAGUUUAAGAAAUUAGAUUCACUUAAUUAGUUAUUAAUAGAAAUUUUUAUGUCGGUGCACUUAAAAAUUAUUUAUUAUUUUAAGUUAUUUCACAUGAGGAUAAAAUAGGUAUUAACAUAAAAGUUAUUAGUAUGGGUAGAUAACAUAUAAUGAGAGAUUUAAACAUCACCACUCUACUCAUAGAGCAGCUUCAAAAACGAUCUCAUUGGUCCAAAAAGGCCUGACCCAUUGAACGAUGACCCUUAAAAUUUUAUCCUAGCUUGAUCCAUACGACAGGCUGAACAGGUCGGUCCUUUACACAAUCAAAACAAACUUGUGAGUAGGGGUGGGCAAAUAACCCAAUCUGAUUCGACCAAAAAACUUGAGUUCAGAUUGGAUGUAGAUGAAUUUCUCAAUCCAAUCAGGUAGGAAUCUAUCCAAAUCGAUCCAAAUUACACACAAUUAAAGAAUAUUAUUUGAAUUUUUUUAUCCAUUCCAAAUAUAAUUCGGAUUCAAUUAUAAGUCUGGAUUGAGUUUGGAUUACUUUUUUCCUAACUCGAUUAACCGGAACUUGAACCCAAUCCGAAACGGAAUUUGCCGACCCCUACUUCUUAUCAUUUAUACAUUACAUUUGUGACUAUCAUUUUUAAACUAAAAUUUUCUCUUGAUGCGAAUAAGAAAAAAAAACAUAGAGUAAAUUUCGUUAAAAAAAAUGAGGCACCAUAGAUGGACCGUACAUAUGGUACAACUAGCUGAAAUGUAAGUAGCCUUGUGAGAGCUGCCUACUUUGGAUUCAGGACGAAAUAUUUAAGAAGCAAGCAAGUAAAUAGAUCAGGAAAAUAAUAUUCGGCCACCCUCAUUCCAGAGGGAAGCCAAAAACGACAUGCUUCUGUGCCGUUUUGAGGUUUUAGAUUUGAAAAUUAAAAAUAAAUUUUACCAUUAAAAAAUAAUAAAAGCUAAUCAAAAGAAAUUAAAAAAUCUAAAUUCUUAUCCCUCCCCUUGCUCACCCCCUCUCUCUUUGACUCACCCGCUCUGUCCCUCUCACUCUCACCCACGAAGCUCGUUCCCCUCUCACUCACCCACAAGCUCGCUGUCAAUAUUUUUUUCGGAUCUCAACUAACGCAUCAUCAAAACCGCAACCAUGACGCUAGGCUGAGGAGGAUCCAGUGUCGUGGGUCAGUUUCUUCUCUAAUCUUGCCCUUUUUUGUUCAAUCUAUUUAUGCCCUGGAUUGAUUUAUUCUCUUUGUUUUAUUGUGUUUCUUGUUCUAGCAAAAUCUAUUUGUCUAAUUCACAUACGGGUCGCAGUCGUUGCUUUUAUUAUUUUAUAAUUUUUUUUAGGUGGUUUUGUGUAGUCUUAUGAACAUUCUUUUUGGCAAAAAUGCAUCUGGGUUGCUACGCGCCUACGUUUGAUUGUUAAUUAGACCUGAUUCGUAAUUCUAUGCGUUUUUUGAAUUUUUGAUCGCGAAAUUAAGUUAAUUUAGUUUAAUAUUAUUAGAUUAUUGUCACCUAAAAUUAGUAUAUUUAAUCAGUUAAAGAAAUUCUUUUGACACGGACUUUAUGAAACCUUGUAUGUGAUACUUUGCUUAGCAAAGUAUUUGGAUUUUGGAUUUUUUUUUCUAUUUAUAUUUUAAAAUUACUAGAAAUAAGUUAUUUGAAGUGUGAUACUUUGUGAAAUGUUGAAGCUUACGGUUUGGUUGUAAUUCUGUUUUUGCUUAUAUAUGUUUACGUCUGUUGGCAUUCUUUUUUUUUUUUUUUUUGGUAUUUGAAGUUUGCAUAUAUGGUGUGUAUUAAGAUUUUCAAGUUGUUCUUGAAACAUAUUCUGGGUAGUUUGAUAUAUCACAUGUUUCUAUGAAUUCUUUAGUUGAGGCAAUUGUUUUUGGUCUUAUCUGCAUUAUUAAGUUCUUUACCACAUAGAAUUCCCUAAUUUUCUUCUGCUAAUCCAGUAAUUGCAGCUUCAUUCUAAGGUUCUUCAUUUUCUAUAAAGCAUAUAUUGCUUCAUUGACACCCCUCUAAAUAACUCUUAAAAUCUCUUUAAUUAUUUUAUAAUUUUAAUUUUUAUUAAAAUUAUAUAAUAGGAUAAUUUUUAAUUAAACUUCCACUCAAAAGUUAAAUAAUUUUUUUAUUUUAGAAAUUAAAAAUGUUGUUUUUUCUCUAAUUUUUGGGUGAAGAAGUUACCACCAAUGCCUACAAUAGAGAGAAUGAAAACUCAUUGUUUCUUUCUUUUAAAUAGAAGAGACUCAAUUGUUGAAAUGAGAUUUAAUAAUAAAAAGUAUAGAAUUGAAUUUACACAAUAACUUUUAUGUAAGGGUAUUUUUAUCAUUGAUGAAGGUGUUAAAAGAAUUUUAUAAUUUUUUAAAAUAUUUUAAUAAGAUUAAUUAUGAAAAAGAGUGUUAAGAAAUAUUUAGAGGGGUACCAAUAGUCCCACUCUAUUUAUUGACCAAUUUAAUAAUUAUUAUCUUUUCAAGGAUUUAAAAAUCUAUAGGUGUAACGGACAGCUAAUGUAAUGUAAGCGUUAUAUAUAUGAGUUGAUGAAAGGGUCACGGGUGAAAUCAAAAUAAAAAAAAUAACAGAAGUCAAUAAUGGCAUUCAAAAUUAAAAAAUAAUAGAAGUCAAUAAUGAAGAAUUUGGGUUAAAUCAUAUAUAUAUGUUAAAUCAAACAGCCACUGGUGUGCGGUUACUUUAUACAAUUUGGGUUCUUGCCUUUCUGCCGUCAUGGGGAAUUAAUGCCACUGGUCAACGGUGAAUCAAUGGCCAUCGGGCACCAAAUUCAUGACCAAUCAAUGGCCAACAAGCACCAAAUUAAUGCCAAGCACACCAACAACCACCGAUUAAAUGGCAAGUUUAGUGUUUUAAAGUUUAGAAUAUGGAGACGCACUUGCUACUGUAUCGAGGUAUUAAAUCAUCAAAAACCAAUUUGGUUUGGAGUCUUCAAUUCCAAUUUGACUCCUACACCAACGCUAGCCAACAACAACUCAACAACCGAAUCACUCGUCCUAAUAGCAUAAUAAUCCAGUCGUCGCUUGCCUGCACGUGAGAGACCAUUUUCUUGUUCGUGCUCGGAAUUGUUGAAUUAAUUUUACAAUGCUCUUGUACCAAUUUUCAUCAUAUAUGCUGCCUCAAGAAGUGAAGAUCGAUGUCGGAAUCACUUUUAGUUUCAAUUACAUGAUGUUUGGGAUCGUCUUAUAAUAUACCAAUUUCAGUCUACAGUUGCCUCAAGUAUCCAUGUCUGUCAAAUCUCAUUUGUAUUAAAGCAACCGCCUAAACCGUUAACCUGUUUGAUUUAAUAUAUAUAUAUAUAUUUGCAGCUGUUAGAUUGAACAAUAAACCAUCCAACGGCUCUGCUAAAUAGAGACAAAAAAGUGCAGUAUGGUGCAACUGUUGUAACAUAGGUGGAGCCUAUUUUUAAUAUUAUAUUAAUGAUUAUUAAAUUUUAUACAAUCAAUAAUGCAAUAAGUUAUUAAAUGAUUAAUUUAUACGUUAUUAAAUGAUUAAUUAUAAAU
rnacentral:lncRNA from 1 species